rnacentral:lncRNA from 1 species
UUUGACUUUUCCCAAAAAAGUCAACUGUUGACUUUUUGACCAAAAGUGAAUUCCGGAAAAUUUUGUGUCUAUAGACUAUUUUUACUAAUUUUAUCGUUCCGGACUCAAAUAUCACGUCCGCGUCUCCAAAUUUAACUCCGAACACAACUUCAAUUUUAAUAACAUUCAUCAUUAAUAUUAUAACUCACAAUAUUUAUCAACCAAG